UACGGGGGGGGCAAGCGUUGUUCGGAAUUACUGGGCGUAAAGGGUUCGUAGGUGGCUGUCUAAGUCAGACGUGAAAUCCCUCAGCUCAACUGGGGAACUGCGUCUGAGACUGGUCAGCUUGAGUGCAGGAGAGGAACGCGGAAUUCCAGGUGUAGCGGUGAAAUGCGUAGAUAUCUGGAGGAACACCGGUGGCGAAGGCGGCGUUCUGGACUGCAACUGACACUGAGGAACGAAAGCCAGGGGAGCAAACGGG
rnacentral:rRNA from 1 species